UACGGGGGGGGUAAGCGUUGUUCGGAAUUACUGGGCGUAAAGGGCUCGUAGGCGGCCAACUAAGUCAUACGUGAAAUCCCUCAGCUUAACUGGGGAACUGCGUGUGAUACUGGAUGGCUUGGAUUUGGGAGAGGGAUGCGGAAUUCCAGGUGUAGCGGUGAAAUGCGUAGAUAUCAUGAGGAAGACCAGUGGCGAAGGCGGGUCUCUGGACAGUUCCUGACACUGAGGCACGAAGGCCAGGGGAGCAAACGGG
rnacentral:rRNA from 1 species